rnacentral:miRNA from 1 species
UGUGCAAACCCAAGCAAAACUG